rnacentral:rRNA from 1 species
UACGAAGGGGGCUAGCGUUGCUCGGAAUGACUGGGCGUAAAGGGCGCGUAGGCGGAUGGCACAGUCAGAUGUUAAAUUCCUGGGCUUAACCUGGGGGCUGCAUUUGAUACGUGUGAUCUGGAGUGAGGAAGAGGGUUGUGGAAUUCCCAGUGUAGAGGUGAAAUUCGUAGAUAUUGGGAAGAACACCGGUGGCGAAGGCGGCGACCUGGUCCUUAACUGACGCUGAGGCGCGAAAGCGUGGGGAGCAAACAGG